rnacentral:lncRNA from 1 species
CGGCUCCCGGCCCCGGGGAAGACCUUCUGUUCUCUGCCGGCGCGGAGGGACGCAGGAACCAGGCCUCUCGCCUCCCCACAAGCUAGGCAGGGAGCGCCCAUCUCCUGAAAAAUUACUUCCUGGGAAGCGGUGCGGGGAGACAGCUUUAAUUGCUUUCGGUUGGUGAAAAACGAAUUCCCUUCCCAGAUUGCUCUCCUAGCUGCCAGGCUCUGACGUUGAGAGGCCGGUUUUCAGCCUCGCAUGCUGCUGCGGCAGAAGACUUUCCUAUGUCUAGCUGCCAGUGUUCUAUAAGUGUUUACGACAUUUCCAGCAUGGUGCCGAUACUGCAUGGCACUGGAACAGAAACGAGGAAGAUUCAUGACUCAGCUGAAGAGAAGUGAAAAUUUCCAGGUAAACUCUGGUCGGGAGGGUGGGAGGAGAACCGUGGUUUGCUUUUGUGCCCAACACUUCACAUUCCUUACCUCUUUCUCCCCACCGAGACCUUGAGGAGCAGCCGUUGUAUAUAUUAGUUCUCCCCUGAUACAGAUGAGAGCUAUCUCUAACUCAGAGACUUGCCACAUCAUUAAAUUAGGAGUGAGAACUGAGCCUGGAUAAGGAAGAGGAACAGGAAUUCAACACAGUGAACACAGCAGGAAAGGCUUGUGCGAAUGCUCUGGGCUGGAGAUGUGUAAAGCACGUCUGGAGAUGGGGAAGGUCCAUUGGGCCAGGAAACCACAGGCUCUGCUCUCCUGGAGCACAGAAGCACAGCGAAAUCACAGCCGAGCAGAGGAGGGCAAGGGAGAGGGCCGCCCCAGUCUGAGAGCUGCAGGGUCUGGCUGGAGCUGCUCCCGGCCAACGGACUUCACCCGGGGGCGGCCUGCUCUAUUGCGCCCUCUGCUGUUAGUCCGCCCCAGGCUCCGCGCCGGCCUCUCCUGGGUCCGUGGGGCCUGCGGGCUGCGGGGAUCACCGAGACCCACGUUCCCGCGGCCAGCAGCCUUUCGCUCUGCUCAGAGGAGAGGCAGGAAGGCAUAUUGCUGUUUCCCAGUCGCUUUUUACACCAGCCUCCUUCGGAUAAACCCAAAAAUCUUCCUUCAGAGAAGACCGCCCGUAUUUCCCGUUAUUGGGGGGUGGAGGUGGGGGUAAGGGCGUCAUAGGGAGAGCCUUACUUUCAACAUUCUGCAUUAUGAAACCAAGGGAGACUUUUUUUCCCAACAAGUGUGAACAUUUUUUUUCAAGAUAAUUAAAUCGUUUA